rnacentral:rRNA from 1 species
GCCAAACAGCUAGCUCAAACAAUAGAACUAAACAACAACCUAUAUUCCUCCACAAAACCUUAAUAAACUUAACUAAACCAUUCGACCACCCCAGUACCGGGCGACGGAAAAGGAUAAAAUGAAGCAAUAGAAAAAGUACCGCAAGGGAAAGCUGAAAGAGGGAUGAAACAGCGCACUUAAGCACAAAAAAGCAGAGACUACAUCUCGUACCUUUUGCAUCAUGAUCUAGCCAGUACCCUCAAGCAAAGAGACCUCUAGUUUGAAACCCCGAAACCAAGACGAGCUACUCCGGGACAGCCUGAUGGGGCCAACCCGUCUCUGUAGCAAAAGAGUGGGAAGAUCCCCGAGUAGAAGUGAAAGACCUAUCGAGUCUGGUUAUAGCUGGUUGCCUAAGAAAUGAAUAGAAGUUCAGCCUCGACACACCCCCCGCCAAAUUUAAGUCUACCAAGGCAUAACAAGGCAAGCAGGGAUUUGCACGAGAGUUAGUUGAGGGAGGUACAGCUCCCUUAACAAAGGAUACAACCUUGAACAGGAGAUUAAAGAACAAAUUUUAACAAGACAAAAGGUUUUAGUGGGCCUAAAAGCAGCCACCUAUACAGAAAGCGUUAAAGCUCAGACCAACUAUUCAAGUCUAAAAUACCGUUAAAACCUCUAAUAUCCCCAAUUAUAUUAGGCCCUCCUAUGCCCACAUAGGAUAGAUAAUGCUAGAACGAGUAAUAAGAAGAAUGAACUUCUCCUUGCACACGUGUAAGUCGGAUCGGACACACCACCGACAACUAACGAACCCAACAAUAGAGGGCCUUACAUCUCAGCCUCUCCGGCCAAGAAAACCAUGUAUUUACCCAUCGUUACCCCUACACAGGAGUGCUAAACUAAGGAAAGACUAAAAGGAUAAAAAGGAACUCGGCAAGCCUAAACCCCGCCUGUUUACCAAAAACAUCGCCUUCUGAAAUUUUUUAUAUAGGAGGUCCCGCCUGCCCUGUGACCAAGUGUUUAACGGCCGCGGUAUUUUAACCGUGCGAAGGUAGCGCAAUCAAUUGUCUUUUAAAUGGAGACCUGUAUGAAUGGCAUAACGAGGGUUUAACUGUCUCUUUAUCCCUGUCAAUGAAACUGAUCUGCCCGUGCAGAAGCGGGCAUAAGAAUACAAGACGAGAAGACCCUAUGGAGCUUUAGACGCCCACCACCCAUAACCCAGCAGGCCCUUUAAGGAGCCCUUAACAUGAUGGGCGUGGCACAAACGUCUUCGGUUGGGGCGACCGCGGGAGAGAAGAGAGCUCCCACGUGGAUUGGGUUUAUCCUAAAACCCAGAGCCGCACCUCUAAGUCACAAAACAUUUGACCAGUAAUGAUCCGGCUUACUGCCGAUCAACGGACCAAGUUACCCUAGGGAUAACAGCGCAAUCCCCUCCCAGAGUCCAUAUCGACGAGGGGGUUUACGACCUCGAUGUUGGAUCAGGACAUCCUAAUGGUGCAGCCGCUAUUAAGGGUUCGUUUGUUCAACGAUUAAAGUCCUACGUGAUCUGAGUUCAGACCGGAGUAAUCCAGGUCAGUUUCUAUCUGUAAUGUCAUCCUUCCUAGUACGAAAGGACCGGAAUGAUGGGGCCCACGCUACAGGCGAGCCUCCCCCUUACCUGCUGAAGACAACUAAAGCAGAUAAAAGGGGGCAACCUCCGACCCUAGACAAGGGUCUA